rnacentral:ncRNA from 1 species
CGGAGGGCGCUCACGCGACCCCGGACGAGGUGCGCCGUACCCGGUAGGACAAGACGGCGCGUA